GUGAGUGGCAACGCAGAAAUGCUCACCAUUCACACUUGUCUCUCACCUUCUUCGUCUCCAACCUGCGAAGCAGACGAAAGAGGGGGUUCCAGAUGCCCUGCAGAUGGGGAAAAGCGAACUGCAAAACCUGCAUCGGCAGCAGAAUCAUGAGGCUGACAGUAAUCAAGUUUCUUCGGGCUUUUUCCGUGACGGAUGUUCGGUGGCUCUCAAUAGAGUUGGAAGGGAGUUUAGUUUCAAGUGCCUCUUCGUUUUGAUUCUGACCCUAUCGGUUUUGGUUUCUGGGAUCUUCUGGGUCCUUCCUUUUCAUUCAACCAAGUGCGGGUUCGAUGCAAAAGAUGCAAUUAAACUCGGCGCUACAGUUCAGGCAUACUUCAGACUAGACAAGCCAGUUACAAAGCUUGUUCUCCACGUUGGAAGAUUAGAAUAUGAUAUCUACGGGGAAAUUGAUGUUCCUGGUAUAAAGGUGGCUAUCACAUCCAUGCACCAAUCUGGUGCAUCUAACUGGACUGAUGUGGUGUUUGGUGUUCUUUCUGAUCCAAUAAAUGUUCCUAUAAGUCCAGUGUCCCUAAGUUUGCUGAGAUCAUCUUUAAUUGAACUGUUCCUUCAGCAAUCCAAUCUGACCUUGACAUCAUCUAUUUUUGGGAAGACAACUAAGUUUCAGAUUCUGAAGUUUCCACCGGGGUUGACUGUAAUCCCAGUGCAAUUUUCUUCAAUUUGGCAGAUCCCCCAGAUUCUAUUUAAUUUUACUCUAAAUAAUUCGAUAUCUGAAAUACUGGAAGAUUUCAUCGAGUUCAAGGAUCAGUUGAAGAUAGGAUUGUAUCUGAGGUCUUACGAGAGUGUGUAUGUCCAGAUAACAAAUGAUGUUGGCUCCACAAUAGCUCCGCCGGUUACAGUUCAGGCUUCUGUCAUGUCUGGUCUUGGGAGUCUUCUGCCGCAGAGAUUGAAGCAAUUGGCUGAAACUAUCACAGGCUCUCCUGCACAAAAUCUUGGCCUUGAUAACACAGUUUUUGGUAAGGUUAAAAGCAUCAGUUUAUCUUCCUAUCUAAGGGGUACUAUUAAUGCUACCCCUCCUAGUCCUUCUCCAUCUCCAUCCUCAGAACCAAGUAAUUAUCCAUCAAUUUCGUCAUAUCCUGCUCUUUCUCCGCCUACCUCUCCAAUGUCCUCGCCUAACAUUAAGCACCGCUCACCUGCACCUUCUAUGGUAAUUGCGCAUCCUCCUUGCCCUUUCCCAUAUCAGGGUUUCAGAAAUUCUCCAAGCCUCUCACCUUCUCACUAUAACCCAACAGUUCCUUCUGCCUUUUCACCUUUGGUGUCAACUCCUAAUGCCCCUCCUACGGGUCCCACUUCCCAGUUGUCUCCAGAUCUGUCACCUAUACCUGAAGUAUCAUAUGCUUCCAGUCCACACCAGGACAAGGGAAGUGCCGAAGGCUUGUUGUCUACAUCCCUUGCACCAUCACCAUCAUAAGAGAAAGUGGGAAAGGAAAAGGAGGGGCUGGGGCUGGGGACUCUUACUUAAAAGCAAUUUACCAGAAACCCAUAGCUAGAUUACUGCUGACCCUCUCCUGAUCUACAAUCAACCAGACUCUUGGAUAAACCUUGGUAGCAGUUACUUCAUACCAGCAGAUCUGGUUAUUGGGGUUUUCUGGACUCUGGAUCUUUUCUCUCUUUUGUUGGUUGGCUUGAUAUUUAAUUUUCUUGACACAACCUAAAGAUAGUUUCCACGGCAUACAGACGCAACAGCUAAUAGUGACGUCCUUACACCCAGUUUUGUUCUCGCAAGGGGAGUAGAUGCUCCUCUGAAAAGUUUGACAGAUUUCCAUCCAAGAAACAUAAAUGUAAAAAGAAGAUACAUUGCAGGUCAAAGCCAGCAAAGGUGGCAGGCCUUUCAUUUAUUUUCUAGGUUUCCGAUGUUGCAAGAAACAAUGGUAAUGUUCUUCACAGGAAAAAGCUCCCAACGAUAGCAUGGCUAGUCGAGAAGAAAAAAAGGUUUGCAGAUUUCAAAAAGAACCAUCUCCACUCUUUAUCCGUUCUAAGUGUUAAAAAAAAAAAUGCUGGUUCCUUUUGUGCAUCUGCAGCAAAGCAGUGUUAUCCAUAAAUGUGAUAAAGCAGGGUUAUAUACUCUUGAAAAAGUAGGUUUAACUUUUAUAAAAUACAGAAUAUGAUUUUUGGA